UUAGGAACUGGAAGGCCACUUGGACUCUUCCGUAUCUUGGUUUUCUCUGUGGUUUGACUUCGUCUGCAUUCUCUCUGCAGCCUGGUUUCUCUCUUCCUGGCCCCCGGGUGGAAAAUGCUUUCCGCCUUCUCCUCUCCAUAGCUCCAAGUUUACUCAACAUGUUACACUCCCAUGUGGAGAAGAACUCACGCUCUCUUACUCCCAACCGCAUAUUCCCAGGAAAGCGAGGCUGAUUGGCAUGUCCUGGGUCAGCUGCCUCCCUGGGGGUACAAACAUGGUGGAUUCUGAGAGAGGAGUGGCUGGGCAUGAACAUCAAACAGUGCCUUAAUAUUUGAGAAUAUUCAUCACACUCGACCAGAUUAUGUUCUUCUCUGAAGCUCUUGGCACAGAGUUCCAUUCUGUUUCACAAGCAUAAAAAAUACACAGUGACGUGAAUUGCAUGGUUGGUAGACAAGUCAGGAUCCCUUCCUCUCCUCCUGUAUGGCCAAAUUCUCCAUUUUCACGCGACAGGAGAUGUGGGUGGCCUUUCUGUAGUGUUUUGUCUCCAGCCCAGUCCUCCAUCAGGCUCCAGCUCUGAAGGGAGCACAAUACAUGCUCUGUGUUUGACCACAAGUGCUCGAUAAGACCUUGGCCCACAGCCCAACUGCUUGCCCCACUUUCUCUGGGUCCCACAGACCCCACAAGGUACUGGAAGACUUUCUUGUGGUAAAGGGAGCCCCUUCCGUUUUGCCUUUGUCAUAUGCGACUCCCUGUUUGUCCGUUUUUGGCCAUGAGAUCAUCUCUUCAGCUCCCUCAAAGGGCUUUGUUUUCUAACCCUCCACAGGUCCCUGCUCUCUGGUGCAUCCUUCAAUGCCUCUCACUUGCCAGAAGAUUGCAGGGACGCGUUUAUCCAGAGUCAAGUCUAAUGGGUAUAAAUUUACUUCACAACAUUCAGCAAAUAAACAUGGAAAAGAGGCAAAGUUAAUGUCCCCUGGAGAAAUGGAUGGAUGAUUGGAUGGAUGGACAGACGGACAGGUGGAUAACCUCAUGAGCCAACAGCUGCCAGGUUUUCAGAGCAGGCCUGGAGCAGCCACCCAGGCAUUCGCCUGGGUCUCCUCUGGAGAAUCACUGCCUUCUUGUGGCCAGGAUGAGGAGGGGAAGAAGAGGCUGAGGCCCUGGCACUUACCAUGGUCUUUCCAUUGCUGAGCUCCACCUAAAGGAGAAACAAGUUCACCUGUCACCCCAGACUGGGGAAAAGAUGGGAAGAAGCCAGUAGAGAAGGAAGAUGUUGAAAACACAGGAGGGAAAGAGGAGUUUUAUCUGCAGACAUCAGUGGCCUGGACAUGAGUGAGGUGUACAUGUCACAUUUGGAGCCAUGGCAACCAUCCUGUGACCUGGAGGACAGAAGUCUAAAGGUAAAGCCAAAACACUGAGGGUGGCGGAGCAGAGGAUGGUGGGUGUCCCUCAGAAUGUUCUGUGCACAGUAGUGAGGAUAACUCUGUUCGGAAGUCAGAACUCAUUGCUCCUCUCCUCAAAACCCACUGGUGGCUCCCUCCCUCUCCACGAAUAAAAUUCCAAAUCCAUAAAGCCCCAUGUGAUCUGACUCCCCGCUGCCUCUUUGAUCUCAUCCUUUUACUCUCUCCCUCCCUCCCUCCAAGCCAACCUCUGGCUUCCUUGCUGAUCCUUGAAUGUUCCAGCACACUGCAGCCUCAUGGCCUCUGCCCUGGCUGUUCUGCUUCACCUGGGCUGCUCUCAGCCUGGAGUGAUCUCAGCCCAGACACCUGGCCUGUUCACCCACUUGCUUCAGCUCCCUGUGUAAAUGUCACCACCUUGGAGAGGCAUUCUCUGACCACCUUCUUUCUAAUGCACCCCCUUCUUAACCAUUCUAUUCCCUUUUCCUGCCUUAUUGUUUUUCCGAGUGCAUAUUGGCCCUUCACACUUUAAGGACUUGUUUAUUCUCACACACACACUCUUACACUUCCUCAUGCUCACAUGCACUCUCACACACACACAGUCACACUCAUGCACUCACUCACGCUCCCUGAUACAUGCACACGCUCACACUCUCUCACUCAUAUGCUCACCUGCACUCACACACGCACAAACGUGAACUUCCAGAGAGCAGCACCCUGGUCCCUUCCCCGACACCCAGAGCAGCACCUGGCAUCUAAUAGGUAUUCAACAAAUCUUUACUGACUUAAUUAAUGAAUU